AGAACGAACGCUGGCGGCAUGCCUAACACAUGCAAGUCGAACGAGACCUUCGGGUCUAGUGGCGCACGGGUGCGUAACGCGUGGGAAUCUGCCCUUGGGUCCGGAAUAACUCAGAGAAAUUUGAGCUAAUACCGGAUGAUGACGUAAGUCCAAAGAUUUAUCGCCCAGGGAUGAGCCCGCGUAAGAUUAGGUAGUUGGUGGGGUAAAGGCCUACCAAGCCGACGAUCUUUAGCUGGUCUGAGAGGAUGAUCAGCCACACUGGGACUGAGACACGGCCCAGACUCCUACGGGAGGCAGCAGUGGGGAAUAUUGGACAAUGGGCGCAAGCCUGAUCCAGCAAUGCCGCGUGUGUGAAGAAGGCCUUCGGGUUGUAAAGCACUUCUAUCAGGAGCGAAAUCGGCGGGGUUAAUAACCGUGUCGUCUGACGGUACCUGAGGAAUAAGCACCGGCUAACUUCGUGCCAGCAGCCGC
rnacentral:rRNA from 1 species